GGUUUCAUGUUCCUUAGGAGUGUCUGCGAGUUAUGAUCAGUCAAUCAGUUCCAGCUUUAGUACCUGGGGCUCUCUAAUGUUUAUUUCUCGUAUUAUCCUACCUCAUUGCUAUAGUCUUCCUCUUUUGGGCUAUUGCUAUUACCAUUUUCUGUCGGUUUUUGUAAUCCACUAUGUGUUUUAUUAUGAAAGAUUUAAUAAAAUUUUGAGUUAAAAAAAAAUAACAAAGUUUUAGAAUCCACUUAGCUAUUACACACAGAAAAAAUAUAUAUAUAAUAUUAUAUCAAGAGUGAUGAAGAAAUGAAAUUGUAUUA
rnacentral:lncRNA from 1 species